UUCACUUUCUCUGAAACUUUCGAACCCUAACUACUAACUCUCACUCCAUCCAAUCCCCCCUGUCUCUCUCUCCCUCUCCCUCUCUAGUUUCACAGCUAGCUAGCUCACACAAAUCUAGCCAUGGCUCCUCCCAGUCUUCUCUGAAACUUUCAUUCCUUCCAAACACUAAUCCCCCCCCCCCCAACUCUCACUUUCUCUCUCUAUGAACAAGCUCCGGAAUUUGGUCGCGUACCCCAAAAUCAACGAAGAUUUCUACAGCCGUACACUUUCUGGCAGCGUCAUCACUCUCGCCUCGUUCAUCGUUAUGCUUCUGCUCUUCUCCGAGGUCGUACGCUUUCCUUUUGCUAUUUCUCUUUGUUAUUUGAUAGGAAUUUGUGUUUUCAUUGAAGAUCUGUCAGAUUCUAGGGUUUGGAAUUAUGAAGUAAUGUCAAAUUAGUAUUUCAAGUUACAGAUCUGGUAGAGUCUUAUUGAAUCCAACCCCAGCUUCUCCACCUUUCUCUGCCUCCGCCUCCGAGCCCGACCUCAACAUCCUCCUCCUUUCUCCUCCUCCGACCUAUCCUUCGAUGUCGAUUGUAAUUUACGAUUGAAGGAGGCUGUAAUCUGCCUCCACCUCUGCAUCCUUUCUUCGUCCUUUUUCUCUCAAGCUUUACCCUAAUCCUUUUGCUCGAUCUCAGCCUCUACGGCCCCAAACGAGGACGUUUUGGUUGAAGAAAGAAUCGCAAACAGUCCAAAGCCCACGAAGGAUUGAAAUCUGGUGGUUGGUUUGUGAAUGGGGAGCUGUUGGUUUCUCUCUUCCUCCCUUCUGCCCAAAAGUGUUGGACUGAAAGUGAGUAAGAGAGAAAGAUGAUUCAGUUUGGGUUUGUCUUGGACGACAUCCGAUUUGUCCUUUUUAUGGGUUUUGGUUUUGAUUUUUUUUUUCUGUUUCAGUUGGUUUUGAACUGCUUGGGGUUUUGAUUUUUUAGGGGUUUUCUUUAUGUUGGAGUGUGAGAUCUCAGUAAUUGAUUGGACUGCUUUGAGGAUUUUCGUUGGCUUAGUUAUGCUCAUACAGUACAUCUCUUCCUGCUGCUGAAAGAUAUAGAAAUGGUAAAGUGCAGAUAUGUUUAAUAUGGAAUUCAAGAAAUGAAACCUCCCCAAAUUCAGAGAAACUGCAAGCCUUGGCCAAUUUUAUAUGGAGGAAUGGUGGGCCACGGAACAAUGUCCAUCUUAUUCACUCAGUGUGGGCUAACUUUCAGACAACAAGUAACAAUAUAAUCUUUGGGAAUAGAUGAAGACAUCUUUUAGGAGAAAGAGACUUUUGGGAACAUGUGAGAGGAAUUGAUUGGCUCCAUCCAGUUUUGGCCAAGCAAACACACAGGUACUUUAAACUAAUUAUAUGACUAUGUGCUACAUAUGUGACAUUCAGAGAUGCUUAUGCUCUUGAAACUGCUAUUUUUCUCAGUGUAAGUUGCUGGUCUCUCUACCCUUAAAAUGCUUACUGAGUUGAUGAAGUUAAUUUUCUAACCUACAUUAACCUGACUUUGGUACCAUUCUCUCGAUAUAUAUAUGUGAUUAGCUGUAGAUGUCCAGACUCCAGAAUGAGUCGGUUAGAAUUUGGAAUUGCAUGACUUUGGUUAUGGUAGAAUUAUGCAUUGUCGGGAUAUCAAAUGGGAAAGCACAAGUUUUCUUUUUCUUUUGGGCAUUGUUCUUCCUAUUAUUGUUCAGGAAAUAUCUGAUGGUAAUACUCUUACAUGUACUCUUUAUUUAGUCAGCAUUAGCUACCAAGAGCGCACACAAGUCCAUAUAUAUUCAAUACACGUAACUGUCAAGAAAUUGGCUACUCCAGAAAUGUCAUGGUGCCAAUUGUAAUUUAGUUGGAUUUUUUAUUAUAAUGUCAUGGUGGGUAUAUUCUUAUCUCUUGGAGUCUCUGUGGUGGCUGGGAUUGAUUACAAGUUUUUCAAUUUUUUAUUUUGCCAUUUUUGGUCUAUAUAUAUUAUGUUAUUGUUUGGCCGACCUUGUGGGUUUGGCCAACCUUGUGGACUAUUUUGGGCGUUGCUCCAGCAGUCCUUAUUACUCCUCUUUGGUGCAUUAAGUAUAUUUAUCAGGUAAGUUUUCAUGGGGUUUUGGGCUGUGUUAUGUGCAUUUCUAGAUUGGUCAUAUUUGUUAUCCAUGCACCGCAAGAGCAUCCUAUCAUCAAUUCUUGAAAUGUGGAGUAUGGCAACUCAACCAAGUUAGAUAUCAGACAUUCAUUUUAUGUCAUAUAUAUACCUUUUCCUCACUAUUAUUCAGAUUUAAUCUUAUAUAUUAAGAAUUGGCCAAUUGGGGCUGAGUGUGUAGUCUUUAUGUUUUCUUUUCUUGCUGUGCUUGCUAGCUACAUCUUUAUUUGUUUAGAAUUUGUUGUUGCUUCUUUUAAGGGUAUUGAGCCUAGUGAAAUUUUGUUAUAAUGAAAGUCUGGGGAGUGAGAUUUUGAUUGGUAGUGUGAUUAGUGAAUCUGGAGGUUACCCAUGAAAAGGUUAAGGGCUGGACACCUAAAAGGCUUUACUUCUAUGUGUUUAAAAGGCCUGAGAUGGGUUCUCACUGUUAGGUCCUCGAUUCUCUGAAGGAAUUUAAGGCUACUACAGCAAUGUGAAGUAAGGAACUCUGGGUUGUGAAGUUCUUUGCACCUUGGUAGUGUGGGCAUUGUAAAAGAUUGGCACCUGAGUAGAAGAAGGCUGCCAAUGAAGACACAUAAUUCUAGUAGUGUUAUAUACAGAGCACACUUGCCAAUGAAGACACAUCUAUAUAUGUGAGCCGUGUUACAUGGAGUCCAGAUGGGAACUUUUUUAGUAUGUAAAGUUCUGAUAUUGAAAGUAUUCCUCAACAUCUAUGUCACUCUGAGAGCUUUCUUUCCAUUGUGUUCAAUUAUUGGCACUGCCCACAAGCUGUGAGGGUUCUUAUUUGUGCUGAAUGCUGCAUGGGAUGUUUGCGUACCAGUUUUUAGUGGGAAUGCUCUUUUAUAUCAUAAUCGUGUCGGGUACAACAAGAUAUUGGAUAAUUCAGGUGCUGAUUGUAGCUUCUUGUUCAUAUGUUUCUGGGCCAGCCUUUGUAGGUUUGGGGUUUUAUUUUGUUAAUUAUGUUGGAUUAUAAUUUUGGAUAGAAAAUUAAUGGAAUGCCCAAAUUUUUGGA